GAGUUUGAUCGUGGCUCAGGAUGAACGCUGGCGGCGUGCCUAACACAUGCAAGUCGAACGGAGUUUAUGAGGAAGAAGCUUCGGCGGAAUUCUUAUAAACUUAGUGGCGGACGGGUGAGUAACACGUGGAGAACCUGCCUCUUACCGGGGGACGAGCAGUUGGAAACGACUGAUAAUACCGCAUAAGCGCACGAGACCGCAUGGUCCUGUGUGAAAAGAUUUAUCGGUAAGAGAUGGCCCCGCGUCUGA
rnacentral:rRNA from 1 species